rnacentral:rRNA from 1 species
UACGUAGGGCGCGAGCGUUGUCCGGAAUUAUUGGGCGUAAAGAGCUCGUAGGCGGCCUGUUGCGUCCGCUGUGAAAUCCCGGGGCUCAACCCCGGGCUUGCAGUGGAUACGGGCUGGCUAGAGGCAGGCAGGGGAGAACGGAAUUCCCGGUGUAGCGGUGAAAUGCGCAGAUAUCGGGAGGAAAACCGGUGGCGAAGGCGGUUCUCUGGGCCUGUACUGACGCUGAGGAGCGAAAGCGUGGGGAGCGAACAGG